UCCGAGUUGACCCCGGCAGUCUCCUAUGAGUCCCCACCAUUACGUGCUGGCAACAUAGGACAAGGGUUGCGCUCGUUGCGGGACUUAACCCAACAUCUCACGACACGAGCUGACGACAGCCAUGCACCACUUGUGUGAGGCCCCGAAGGACACCGUAUCUCUACGGCUUUUCCCCACAUGUCAAGCCUUGGUAAGGUUCUUCGCGUUGCAUCGAAUUAAACCACAUGCUCCACCGCUUGUGCGGGCCCCCGUCAAUUCCUUUGAGUUUCAGCCUUGCGGCCGUACUCCCCAGGCGGGGCACUUCAUGCGUUAGCGCCGGUACCCCGGGGGUCGCUCCCCAGAGUACCUAGUGCCCAUCGUUUACGGCGUGGACUAC
rnacentral:misc_RNA from 1 species